rnacentral:rRNA from 1 species
AUUGAACGCUGGCGGCAGGCCUAACACAUGCAAGUCGAACGAGUGGCGGACGGGUUAGUAAUGUCUGGGAAACUGCCUGAUGGUGGGGGAUAACUACUGGAAACGGUAGCUAAUACCGCAUACCCUCAGAUGUGCCCAGAUGGGAGUAGCUAGUUGGUGGUGUAAAGGCUCACCAAGGCGACGAUCCCUAGCUGGUCUGAGCGGAUGACCAGCAACACGGGAACUGGGACACGGUCCAGACGCCUACGGGAGGCAGCAGUGGGGGAUAGUGCACAAUGGGCGCAAGCCUGAUGCGGCCAUGCCGCGUGUAUGAAGAAGGCCUACGGGUUGUAAAGUACUUUCAGCGGGGAGGCGUUACCCGCAGAAGAAGCACCGGCUAACUCCGUGCCAGCAGCCGCGGUAAUUC